rnacentral:rRNA from 1 species
CCCUUAGAUGUUCUGGGCCGCACACGCGCUACACUGAAGGAGGCAGCGUGUACUCCUGGAUCGAAAGAUUUGGGUAACCCGCGAAUCUCCUUCGUGCUAGGGAUUGAGGUUUGCAAUUAUCCUUCAUGGACGAGGAAUUCCCAGUAAGUGCAAGUCAUAAGCUUGCGCUGACUACGUCCCUGCCCUUUGUACACACCGCCCGUCGCUACUACCGAUUGAAUGAUUUAGUGAGGACUUCGGACUGGGACCGAUGCGGCUUUCGGGCUGCGUCGGUAUUCUGGAAAGAUGUCCAAACUGUAUCAUUUAGAGGAAGUAAAAGUCGUAACA